UUGUCUAACGUUCUAGUUUGUGAAGAGGAUGCACCAUUAGAUGUACCUCGUUCAUCUUAUGCUCAUCAGAGAACGUCUUUGUUGAUUAAAGUGAUUGCAAACCUUGAUUGCUUUGUUCCUGAUGUAUACCAGGAUGAGAAGGAUUUGUUUCUCAACAUGUUCAUUUGGUUCAUAGAGAAGGACUAUUAGAAACUGUCAGAUGACAAAGUGUCCACAGUUCACUGUUAAGUCUUUAGUUCCAGGAUUUUUGAAUGAAGAUGAUGUACAACUGCUGAAGUAAUUUGAAUAUAUGCCUUCCUUCCAUGCUGAAAUCGGGUUAUUUGUAAGUCAGUUUGAGUUCCGAAUCGUUCGUGCUGCAUCGGAAGAUCAUUUAGUCCAUGAGCUUGGGAAGAGGUGGACUGCAGGAGCAACUAGCUUCCUAUAUUGGACUCCCGGCCCUGAUAAAAAAAGAGUAGG